rnacentral:rRNA from 1 species
CCUACGGGUGGCAGCAGUGGGGAAUAUUGCACAAUGGGGGAAACCCUGAUGCAGCGACGCCGCGUGAGUGAAGAAGUAAUUCGUUAUGUAAAGCUCUAUCAGCAGGGAAGAAAAUUACGGUACCUGAGUAAUAAGCCCCGGCUAACUCCGUGCCAGCAGCCGCGGUAAUACGGAGGGGGCAAGCGUUAUCCGGAUUUACUGGGUGGAAAGGGAGCGUAGACGGCAGUGCAAGUCUGGAGUGAAAGGCGGGGGCUCAACCCCCGGACUGCGCUGGAAACUGUACGGCUGGAGUGCAGGAGAGGUAAGUGGAAUUCCUAGUGUAGCGGUGAAAUGCGUAGAUAUUAGGAGGAACACCAGUGGCGAAGGCGGCUUACUGGACUGUAACUGACGUUGAGGCUCGAAAGCGUGGGGAGCAAACAGGAUUAGAUACCCGGGUAGUC